rnacentral:lncRNA from 10 species
GAACGCGCGCGAGCGGCGCCGGCGGCAGAGAGGCCUAGUCUGUAAGGCGGUCUCUGGCCCGGGUGGGGCUGGGACCGGCGGGCUCCCAGGAAAACUUUGUACAAUUGGAAGUCAGGGCUCCUCCCAUUCUGGAAGCCCUGUCCAAACCCGCGCCUGGGGGUUGCCGCGUGAGUGUACGGGGGAAGGCCGGGCCUGGCGGGAGAAACCAGGACAGGCGCCUUGAGUCGGCAAACGGCUCCCAGGACUGUGCUGAGCACCGCGAGGGGACCUGAGGCAGGCCCCGGAGAAGCCCUCGUGCCAUUAAUUGAUUCUUUGGAAACAUUCCCUGGGGUUGCUGAGGUCCUGGCAGCCGGUGAAAAAUCAAAGGCCUCUGCCCUGAUGGAAUUCCCAGUCAAGAAAUAAUGGAAUGACGUUAUUGUAUGUUGAAGGUUUUCAUAAUAAACAGUUUAAUAAACGAGAAAAUUAAUUCUGCAGGAAGCAAAAGUUGAGCCUUAAAAAAAAUUUUAGUCCGGGAGCGGUGGCUCACGCCUGUAAUUCCAGCACUUUGGGAGACCAAGGCAAGCAGAUCACCGGAGGUCAGGAGUUCAGGACCAGCCUGGCCAAAAUGGUGAAACCCCGUCUCUACUAAAAAUACAAAAUUAGCCGGGUGUGGUGGUGCGCGCCUGUAAUCCCAGCUACU